AGCUCAAAUUUGAAAUCUGGCUCCCUCUUUGGGGGUCCGAGUUGUAAUUUGCAGAGGGUGCUUUGGCGUUGGUGGCGGUCUAAGUUCCUUGGAACCGGACAUCGCAGAGGGUGAGAAUCCCGUAUGUGGUCGCCUGCCUUCGCCGUGUAAAGCCCCUUCGACGAGUCGAGUUGUUUGGGAAUGCAGCUCUAAAUGGGAGGUAAAUUUCUUCUAAAGCUAAAUACUGGCCAGAGACCGAUAGCGCACAAGUAGAGUGAUCGAAAGAUGAAAAGCACUUUGGAAAGAGAGUCAAAAAGCACGUGAAAUUGUUGAAAGGGAAGCGCUUGUCGCCAGACUUGCCCGCAGUUGCUCACCUGGGCUCCGGCCCGGGGCACUCUUCUGCGGGCAGGCCAGCAUCAGUUCGGGCGGUUGGAUAAAGGCCUCUGUCACGUAUCUUCCUUCGGGAUGACCUUAUAGGGGAGGCGACAUGCAACCAGCCCGGGCUGAGGUCCGCGCUUCGGCUAGGAUGCUGGCGUAAUGGCUGUAAGCGGCCCGUCUUGAAACACGGACCAAGGAGUCUAACAUCUAUGCGAGUGUUUGGGUGUCAAGCCCGAGCGCGCAAUGAAAGUGAACGCAGGUGGGAACCUUCGGGUGCACCAUCGACCGAUCCUGAAGUCUUCGGAUGGAUUUGAGUAUGAGCAUAGCUGUUGGGACCCGAAAGAUGGUGAACUAUGCUUGAAUAGGGUGAAGCCAGAGGAAACUCUGGUGGAGGCUCGCAGCGGUUCUGACGUGCAAAUCGAUCGUCAAAUUUGGGCAUAGGGCGAAAGACUAA
rnacentral:rRNA from 1 species